rnacentral:rRNA from 1 species
UCUCCUGGAAACGGGUGGUAAUGCCGGAUGCUCCAGUUGAUCGCAUGGUCUUCUGGGANAGCUUUCGCGGUAUGGGAUGGGGUCGCGUCCUAUCAGCUUGACGGCGGGGUAACGGCCCACCGUGGCUUCGACGGGUAGCCGGCCUGAGAGGGCGACCGGCCACAUUGGGACUGAGAUACGGCCCAGACUCCUACGGGAGGCAGCAGUGGGGAAUAUUGCACAAUGGGCGCAAGCCUGAUGCAGCGACGCCGCGUGAGGGAUGGAGGCCUUCGGGUUGUAAACCUCUUUUAUCGGGGAGCAAGCGAGAGUGAGUUUACCCGUUGAAUAAGCACCGGCUAACUACGUGCCAGCAGCCGCGGUAAUACGUAGGGUGCAAGCGUUAUCCGGAAUUAUUGGGCGUAAAGGGCUCGUAGGCGGUUCGUCGCGUCCGGUGUGAAAGUCCAUCGCUUAACGGUGGAUCCGCGCCGGGUACGGGCGGGCUUGAGUGCGGUAGGGGAGACUGGAAUUCCCGGUGUAACGGUGGAAUGUGUAGAUAUC